GUCCAUCAUUACUUUAAGACAUGAGGGUCAGUCCAUCAUUACUUUAAGACAUGAAGGUCAGUCCAUCAUUACUUUAAGACAUGAAGGUCAGUCCAUCAUUACUUUAAGACAUGAAGGUCAGUCCAUCAUUACUUUAAGACAUGAAGGUCAG